GGGCAGAAGUGGCAGUGGGGAGGAGAGGUGACUGGGCUUGGAAGCAGAGACUGAGGCAGAAGCAGGGGCGGGGAGGUAACCGCGGGCCCCAAAGAGUGCACAGAUGCUCUGUGCAGGGUCGGCUAGCAUAAUAAUGAUUAAAUGAGCAACAUUUCAUAUAGGGGUGUGCACAAAUAGUUCGGUGCCAAACCGGUUCGCCUCUUACCGGGCCAGUUUGGAGGUUUGGUCCGCAAUUUAACUGAACCAAGCCCGGUUCAGAUGGACAGGUUCAGUGCCAAAUGGGCAGCGGGGGUGGAGGGUGCGAUGAGACAGAUAGUAAAAGGGUCUGCUUACCGCCAACACACUGCUCCCACUGCUGCUUGCACGCACACACACACACACACACACACACACCCCAGUGCAGCCGAUAGCUACAGUGUGUGCACUCUUUCCUCCUUUACCAAGCUACCCACCCAGCAGGGGUAGCUCAGUUCUGGCCUCCACGCAUGCCAGGGUCCCCCAUCCCUGUACUUGUAAAGGGGGAUCCUCACGAGAUUCUGCUUUACAAUUAUGCACAUCGGGUAGAACAGUGGAACAGUCUGCUUCAUGCAGUGGUGGGAACUCUGCUGAAUAUUUUCAAACAGAGGCGUGACAGCCAUAUGUCAGGUAUGCUGGCCAUUUCUUAUACUGAGCAGGGGGUGAAACAGAAGACCUUCAGAGCCCUUCCAGCUCUACAAUUCCAUGAUUCUGUUGCAAUAAACUGGGUGAAUGGCAGCCAUUCCUUUGUAUGGGAGAAAGGAGUGCUCUCAGGGAGACCACUGCAGUGAGGACAAAACUGGCCCUUUGCCUGGAGCAGACCACAUCUUAAUUACAGACCACACAAGUUCUCCAAUAGAACUCAAAAGGAGCCACUGAAAACUGAGCCAGCAUCUACAGAUAAAUAUGGAAUCUUUACUUACUUACUUAUAUCUAUGUAAACCGCUUUAGGAACUGUUUAACAGUGGUAUAUAAAUAUUCAUCAUAUUCACA